AGGAAUAAACACUAGUAUAUAUUUUGUAUACAUUAGUGUAUAUAUUUUGCAUACUAAAGCCAGAUCAUUCUGAAAUUAACUUUUCAUAACCAGGAAUAAAUCUUAAGUAGAUAGAAGCAUAAUAAUGUCCCUCUUUCACAACCCACUCUACACUUUUGGCUGUUAUUGCUAAUUUUUGAACAUUCUUUGGGCAUUUUUUAAAGGUUCUUGCAGUAGGCAUGGAGUUCUUACCUAUAUGCUGAAUCCCCUUGGAUUCUAUGGUUUUUUUAUAUAUAUUUUGACUCUCCUAAGUGAAAAUCCUAGUUCCGCUAUCGCGACCAUGCACUGCUGUCAAUGGGUAUUCACAUGAUGGACUUUGAGGGCGACAAACUUGUCAUCUGCUUUGGUUAA
rnacentral:lncRNA from 1 species